rnacentral:tRNA from 1 species
GCCGGAGUGGCGGAAUUGGUAGACGCGACAGUCUCAAAAACUGUUGCUCCGCAAGGGGCGUGUCGGUUCGAUCCCGACCUUCGGCACCA